ACAGGGGGGGCAAGCGUUGUUCGGAAUUACUGGGCGUAAAGGGCUCGUAGGCGGCCAACUAAGUCACACGUGAAAUCCCCAGGCUUAACCUGGGAACUGCGUGUGAUACUGGAUGGCUUGAAUUCGGGAGAGGGAUGCAGAAUUCCAGGUGUAGCGGUGAAAUGCGUAGAUAUCUGGAGGAAUACCGGUGGCGAAGGCGGCAUCCUGGACCGACAUUGACGCUGAGGAGCGAAAGCUAGGGGAGCAAACGGGA
rnacentral:rRNA from 1 species